GAUGAAGUGGCUGGAGACCUCUGACAACAGGCGGCAGAUGUAAAGACUGAGGGGGAAAUAACUACGAGUGCCCCAUCAUAAGGCAGCACAAAACCACAAGAAUUAGGAAGUGAAGAAAGAAGAGGACAAAACAGAUCAGUUCUUCUAGAACAAAGGGGAAGAUACAAAGGUGAAGAAGCAAGAAUUUAUACCAAAAAAAAAAACAUGGACCAGAAGACAUGAUCCCUGGAUCUGGUUAUUUAACCUUGGACAAGCUACCCACUCAGUCCAAACAUGCUACAGAAUGGAGAUAAAGCACAUCCUGCUUAUGUCUUAAGGCUUCUUCAAACAUCCAAGAAGUAAUACACGUUAAAGCAGUUAAAGACUACAAAACCCAACAGAAAUGUAACGUGAUGGGAUUAGUAUUUCAGGUGUGGCAGAAAGAAAAAAAAAGGGCAAAAGAGAAAUCAAUCCAAUCCCAUCAAUCCCCAAUCUGCUCUUAGUCUUCUAAA